rnacentral:rRNA from 1 species
CCAGCAGCUGCGGUAAUUCCAGCUCCAAUAGCGUAUAUUUAAGUUGUUGCAGUUAAAAAGCUCGUAGUUGGAUUUCGGGUGGGGUGGUGCGGUCCGCCUCUGGUGUGCACUGCUCCGCUCCACCUUCCUGCCGGGGACGGGCUCCUGGGGCUUCACUGUCUCGGGACUCGGAGUCGGCGAUGUUACUUUGAGUAAAUUAGAGUGUUCAAAGCAGGCCUACGCUCUGAAUACAUUAGCAUGGAAUAACACGAUAGGACUCUGGCCUAUCUGUUGGUCUGUGGGACCGGAGUAAUGAUUAAGAGGGGUAGUCGGGGGCAUUCGUAUUCCGUUGUCAGAGGUGAAAUUCUUGGAUUUACGGAAGACGAACAUCUGCGAAAGCAUUUGCCAAGGAUACUUUCAUUGAUCAAGAACGAAAGU